UAUCUCUCCGUACGGGGAAGGAUGAGAAGCUUCGACUAAGGUUCGAUUCGAGCGCAGCGAGAAAGCGUUGCCGCAGGCAACGACCCGAAGGGCGAAGC
rnacentral:sRNA from 1 species